rnacentral:rRNA from 1 species
ACGAACGCUGGCGGCGUGCUUAACACAUGCAAGUCGAGCGGUGAAGCUCCAGCUUGCUGGAGUGGAUCAGUGGCGAACGGGUGAGUAACACGUGAGCAACCUGCCCCUGACUCUGGAAUAAGCGCUGGAAACGGCGUCUAAUACUGGAUACGAGAAGGGUCCGCAUGGGCACUUUCUGGAAAGUUUUUCGGUUGGGGAUGGGCUCGCGGCCUAUCAGCUUGUUGGUGAGGUAAUGGCUCACCAAGGCGACGACGGGUAGCCGGCCUGAGAGGGCGACCGGCCACACUGGGACUGAGACACGGCCCAGACUCCUACGGGAGGCAGCAGUGGGGAAUAUUGCACAAUGGGCGAAAGCCUGAUGCAGCGACGCCGCGUGAGGGAUGACGGCCUUCGGGUUGUAAACCUCUUUCAGCAGGGAAGAAGCGAAAGUGACGGUACCUGCAGAAGAAGCACCGGCUAACUACGUG